rnacentral:rRNA from 1 species
CGGAACGUGCCCAAUCGUGGGGGAUAACGCAGCGAAAGCUGUGCUAAUACCGCAUACGAUCUACGGAUGAAAGCAGGGGAUCGCAAGACCUUGCGCGAAUGGAGCGGCCGAUGGCAGAUUAGGUAGUUGGUGAGGUAAAGGCUCACCAAGCCUUCGAUCUGUAGCUGGUCUGAGAGGACGACCAGCCACACUGGGACUGAGACACGGCCCAGACUCCUACGGGAGGCAGCAGUGGGGAAUUUUGGACAAUGGGCGAAAGCCUGAUCCAGCCAUGCCGCGUGCAGGAUGAAGGCCUUCGGGUUGUAAACUGCUUUUGUACGGAACGAAACGGCCUUUUCUAAUAAAGAGGGCUAAUGACGGUACCGUAAGAAUAAGCACCGGCUAACUACGUGCCAGCAGCCGCGGUAAUACGUAGGGUGCAAGCGUUAAUCGGAAUUACUGGGCGUAAAGCGUGCGCAGGCGGUAAUGUAAGACAGUUGUGAAAUCCCCGGGCUCAACCUGGGAACUGCAUCUGUGACUGCAUUGCUGGAGUACGGCAGAGGGGGAUGGAAUUCCGCGUGUAGCAGUGAAAUGCGUAGAUAUGCGGAGGAACACCGAUGGCGAAAGCAAUCCCCUGGGCCUGUACUGACGCUCAUGCACGAAAGCGUGGGGAGCAAACAGGAUUAGAUACCCUGGUAGUCCACGCCCCUAAACGAUGUCAACUGGUUGUUGGGUCUUCACUGACUCAGUAACGAAGCUCACGCGUGAAGUUGACCGCCUGGGGAGUACGGCCGCAAGGUUGAAACUCACAGGAAUUGACGGGACCCGCACAAGCGGUGGAUGAUGUGGUUUAAUUCGAUGCAACGCGUAAAACCUUACCCACCUUUGACAUGUACCGAGUCCUUUAGAGAUAGAGGAGUGCUCGAAAAGAGAGCUGUCACACAGUGCUGCAUGGGCUGUCGUCAGCUCGUGUCGUCGAGAUGUCGGGUCAGUCCUGCUACGAGCAGCACCCGUAGUCAUAGUAGCUACAUUUCAGUUGGGCACUCUAUGAGACUGCCAGUGACAAUCCGUAGAGUAGGGAAUGACGUCAAAGUCGUCAUGACCUAUAGUCAGGCUCACUCUCGUCCAUACAUGCUGGUUACAACGAUUGCUAACUCC